GACGUGGUGUUGUCCACUACCAUUAGGUUCUACAGUCUACAGUAGACGUGAUGUUGUCCACUACCCCUAGGUUCUACAGUCUCCAGUAGACGUGGCAUUGUCCACUACCCCCUGGUUCUACAGUCUCUCAGUAGACGUGGUCUUGUCCACUACCCCUGGUUCUACAGUCUCCACUAGACGUGGUAUUGUCCACUACCCCCAGGUUCUACACUCUCUAGUAGAUGUGGCGUUGUCCACUACCCCUGGUUCUACAGUCUCCAGUAGAUUCGUGGUGUUGUCCACUACCCCCGGGUUCUACAGUCCCCAGUAGACGUGGCAUUGUCCACUAUCCCCCUGGUUCUACAGUCUCCAGUAGACGUGGCGUUGUCCACUACCCCCAGGUUCUACAGUCUCCAGUAGACGUGGUGUUGUCCACUACCCCCAGGUUCUACAGUCCCCAGUAGACGUGGAGUUGUCCACUACCCCUGGUUCCACCAGUCUCCAGUAGACGUGGCGUUGUCCACUACCCC